GACGAACGCUGGCGGCGUGCUUAACACAUGCAAGUCGAACGGUGAAGGGGAGCUUGCUCCCCGGAUCAGUGGCGAACGGGUGAGUAACACGUGGGCAACCUGCCCCAGACUCUGGGAUAACUCCUCGAAAGAGGUGCUAAUACCGGAUACGAACCCCCUUGGCAUCUUGGGGGUUGGAAAGUUCUUCGGUCUGGGAUGGGCCCGCGGCCUAUCAGCUUGUUGGUGAGGUAACGGCUCACCAAGGCGACGACGGGUAGCCGGCCUGAGAGGGCGACCGGCCACACUGGGACUGAGACACGGCCCAGACUCCUACGGGAGGCAGCAGUGGGGAAUAUUGCGCAAUGGGCGAAAGCCUGACGCAGCAACGCCGCGUGAGGGAUGACGGCCUUCGGGUUGUAAACCUCUUUCAGCAGGGAAGAAGCGAAAGUGACGGUACCUGCAGAAGAAGCACCGGCUAACUACGUGCCAGCCGCCGCGGUAACAC
rnacentral:rRNA from 1 species